rnacentral:rRNA from 1 species
UACGAAGGGGGCUAGCGUUGCUCGGAAUGACUGGGCGUAAAGGGCGCGUAGGCGGUUUGGACAGUCAGAUGUGAAAUUCCUGGGCUCAACCUGGGGGCUGCAUUUGAUACGUUCGGACUAGAGUGGGGAAGAGGGUCGUGGAAUUCCCAGUGUAGAGGUGGAAUUCGUAGAUAUUGGGAAGAACACCGGUGGCGAAGGCGGCGACCUGGUCCUUGACUGACGCUGAGGCGCGAAAGCGUGGGGAGCAAACAGG